UACGUAGGGUGCGAGCGUUAAUCGGAAUUACUGGGCGUAAAGCGUGCGCAGGCGGUUUUGUAAGCCCGAUGUGAAAUCCCCGGGCUUAACCUGGGAAUGGCAUUUGGGACUGCAAGGCUGGAGUGCGGCAGAGGGGACUGGAAUUCCUGGUGUAGCAGUGAAAUGCGUAGAUAUCAGGAGGAACACCGAUGGCGAAGGCAGGUCUCUGGGCUGACACUGACGCUCAUGCACGAAAGCGUGGGGAGCAAACAGG
rnacentral:rRNA from 1 species